rnacentral:rRNA from 1 species
GAUGAACGCUGGCGGCGCGCCUAACACAUGCAAGUCGAACGAUUAAAGCACCUUCGGGUGUGUAUAAAGUGGCGAACGGCUGAGUAACACGUGGGCAACCUGCCCCUUUCAUUGGGAUAGCCACGGGAAACCGUGGAUAAUACCGAAUACUUCGAGACUUCCGCAUGGAAGACUCGAGAAAGCUCCGGCGGAGAGGGAUGGGCCCGCGGCCUGUUAGCUUGUUGGUGGGGUAACGGCCUACCAAGGCAAUGAUGGGUAGCUGGGUUGAGAGACCGACCAGCCAGAUUGGAACUGAGACACGGCCCAGACUCCUACGGGAGGCAGCAGUGGGGAAUCUUGCACAAUGGGCGAAAGCCUGAUGCAGCGACGCCGCGUGCGGGAUGAAGGCCUUCGGGUUGUAAACCGCUUUCAGCAGGGACGAGGCGAAAGUGACGGUACCUGCAGAAGAAGCCCCGGCUAACUACGUG